rnacentral:rRNA from 1 species
GACGAACGCUGGCGGCGUGCUUAACACAUGCAAGUCGAACGAAGUGGCGAACGGGUGAGUAACGCGUAAUCAACCUGCCCUUCAGAGGGGGACAACAGUUGAAAACGACUGCUAAUACCGCAUACUGAAGGAGGGGUUUGCGUCUGAUUAGCUAGUUGGAGGGGUAACGGCCCACCAAGGCGAUGAUCAGUAGCCGGGCCGGGGGGAGUGACGGCCAAAUUGGGACUGGGACACGGCCCAGACUCCUACGGGAGGCAGCAGUGGGGAAACUUCCGCAAUGGACGAAAGUCUGACGGAGCAAAGCCGCGUGAGUGAUGACGGCCUUCGGGUUGUAAAGCUCUGUUAAUCGGGACGCGGUACCGGAAUAGAAAGCCACGGCUAACUACGUGCCAGCAGCCGCGGUAAUAC